GUGUUUCGUUUGGUGGGGGAUACGUAUAGCCGAGAUGAUAGUUUCCCCGACCUAUUCACAUAUUUUCAAGCUUGAAAAGAUGACAUAUUCCAGCGGCACGUCCAAUCACCUUGUAUAUAUAGGAAGUGGACCCUCCGAGGACUUUUAAAUAAAAAUUAUAUUUAUAUUCAGUUGUGGAUCGAAGGAGGAUGGGAUACGAAGUAGGACUCCCCUUUUUGUGAACAAUCAAUGCAUUUGAAUGGAGACAUAUAAGUUGGAACCUCCUUUAUCCUGACUAGAUCUGCCCCUGAUAUUGCAUGCAUGUUUAUCAAGUGUUGGGUUACUUUAGCAUAACGGAUAUCACAGAGAGGGUUUUAAAAUGACGAGGAAUUAUAAGUAUACAAUUACUGAAAAGAGGAAGAGUGCAAGGACGAAUGGGAAUUAAAUUAAAAAUUUGCCACUUCACGAUAUUCGAAAAAGUACCUUGAACGUUGUUUUCAUCAUCUUGUCUGAAAUACUCUGAAUAAUGAGCUUCAAGGCGAAGCGCGAAAACAUUUUAGUCAUGUGAAAAUAAAUACCAAUGACAAACGUUGUACGGACAAACCCUUUAAAAAUCCCUCAAUAAAUAUUCAUGUUGCGUUUUCUUCUUCCAGUAGCAGUCACCGUCAACU
rnacentral:lncRNA from 1 species